ACUGAACGCUGGCGGCAGGCUUAACACAUGCAAGUCGAGCGGAGAUGAGGUGCUUGCACCUUAUCUUAGCGGCGGACGGGUGAGUAAUGCUUAGGAAUCUGCCUAUUAGUGGGGGACAACAUUCCGAAAGGAAUGCUAAUACCGCAUACGUCCUACGGGAGAAAGCAGGGGAUCUUCGGACCUUGCGCUAAUAGAUGAGCCUAAGUCGGGUUAGCUAGUUGGUGGGGUAAAGGCCUACCAAGGCGACGAUCUGUAGCGGGUCUGAGAGGAUGGUCCGCCACACUGGGACUGAGACACGGCCCAGACUCCUACGGGAGGCAGCAGUGGGGAAUAUUGGACAAUGGGGGGAACCCUGAUCCAGCCAUGCCGCGUGUGUGAAGAAGGCCUUAUGGUUGUAAAGCACUUUAAGCGAGGAGGUGGCUACUGAGACUAAUACUCUUGGAUAGAGGACGUUACUCGCAGAAUAAGCACCGGCUAACUCUGUGCCAGCCGCCGCCGUAAAAC
rnacentral:rRNA from 1 species